UGAUGCGCCGAACCCAAAAUCAAACUGCACCACAACUUUCGGCACUGCCAGACUAUUAAAGUAGUGUUUUUGUUUCGUCUGAAACAGUCGCCGAUUCGCGGAAUAAGCCCUCUCUCUAUAUCCAAAUUUUCAAAAUAAUUUCAAAAUUCUAAUUCUAAUUUGAAUUUAAAUAACUCUAAUUCAAAAUUUAUAGUCAUUACACCUAUGAACCAGUUUAUUUUAAUAUGAUUUUAUCCAAAAAAAAUAUCGAGAUCACUGAAAAUCUGAAAUAAUUCUUCUGUUUCUUUUUCUUU
rnacentral:lncRNA from 1 species